UACGAAGGGGGCUAGCGUUACUCGGAUUGACUGGGCGUAAAGGGCGCGUAGGCGGUUCGUACAGUCAGACGUGAAAUUCCUGGGCUCAACCUGGGGGCUGCGUUUGAUACGUGCGGGCUUGAGUUCGGAAGAGGGUCGUGGAAUUCCCAGUGUAGAGGUGAAAUUCGUAGAUAUUGGGAAGAACACCGGUGGCGAAGGCGGCGACCUGGUCCGAUACUGACGCUGAGGCGCGACAGCGUGGGGAGCAAACAGG
rnacentral:rRNA from 1 species